GGAACCACCACAGCCUGGGCCCGCGGGAGGGGACGGGACGCCACGACCCGUGGGGCGGCAGCCGCCGCCUCAAGACCCUCGCCGCCGCCAGGGGUGUCACUUCUUCUCGAGGAGCCUCCCACCCUGCCACACAGCACUGCAGCGCUGCCCUCCGCAGGACAAAACUGCCCCGCAACCCUCCCGGGCCGCGGGAGGGGCUCCAGGGCCUUCAGAACACCACUCCCACUAUCACCCCAGAGGGUGAACUGCGGGCAAAAAGAAAAAAAAAACCAACAUCUAUGAACAGGGAAGUUUGUUUUCCCAGAAGGUGGAGGAGGAUGAAGAAGAAAGGCAAAAUAAAAACAGAAACCUGCCCGUAAUCCCAGCACUUUGGCAGGCAGAGGCGGGCAGAUCACCUGAAGUCAGGAGUUCGAGACCAGCCUGGCCUACGUGGCGAAACCCCCAUCUUUACUAAAAAUAAAAAAAAAUUAUCUGA